GUCACGUUCAGGCCGGGACUGUGCUUCAAACGGGAAUACACGAGAAGAAAUGUCCAAUCCUCAUCCUCAUGUCUAUACUCGAGUGUAAACCUCAAAAUGUCCACAAAGAGACACAACACAACUUCAAAGAGACACAACACAACUACAAAGAGACACAACACAACUACAAAGAGACACAACACAACUACAAAGAGACACAACACAACUUCAAAGAGACACAACACAACUUCAAAGAGACACAACACAACUACAAAGAGACACAACACAACUACAAAGAGACACAACACAACUACAAAGAGACACAACACAACUUCAAAGAGACACAACACAACUUCAAAGAGACACAACACAACUACAAAGAGACACAACACAACUACAAAGAGACACAACACAACUACAAAGAGACACAACUACAAAGAGACACAACACAACUUCAAAGAGACACAACACAACUACAAAGAGACACAACACAACUACAAAGAGACACAACACAACUACAAAGAGACACAACACAACUACAAAGAGACACAACAACUACAAAGAGACACAACACAACUACAAAGAGACACAACAACUACAAAGAGACACAACAACUACAAAGAGACACAACACAACUACAAAGAGACACCAACAACUACAAAGAGACACAACACAACUACAAAGAGACACAACACAACUUCAAAGAGACACAACACAACUUCAAAGAGACACAACACAACUACAAAGAGACACAACACAACUUCAAAGAGACACAACACAACUUCAAAGAGACACAACACAACUUCAAAGAGACACAACAACUACAAAGAGACACAACACAACUACAAAGAGACACAACACAACUACAAAGAGACACAACAACUACAAAGAGACACAACACAACUACAAAGAGGCUCCAUAACAUACAGUCUGGCUCCUGGGGGAGAGCUGAGGCCUUCAUGUCUGUAUCGAGGGGCCCAUUGUCUCAUAAUCCACCAACGAUCAGCGUCACUGGUCUGUAAACUUUGCCUCCAAAGUUAAGUUGUGCUUUAUAUUAAGAGUUAAAUGAACAUUUAUAGCAUCAGAUUUGUUCGCAGGUAUAAAGUAAAUAUAAGUUU
rnacentral:lncRNA from 1 species